GAGGUGCUGAUUUCAGAAUGCAGGCACCAACUCAUGAAUCUGGCAGUGUAUAGGUUUGUUAAUCAAGGGCCAUAAAUCUGCCAAAUUGUGUCAAUCUUGUAUAACAUUACAAUAUGCGUAUUACCAACCUAUAACAAGGACUUGUACCAAUUUCACAAAAUUCCUCCUAAAAAUGUGAGAGAAGUUAAUUUCAGAACGCUUAUAUCUUUUUUGGUAAAAGGACAGAUGGACAGGCGGACAGACAGACAGACGGAAAUUGCCACGACAUAGUCCCCCUUCGGGCCUUCGAUCAGCAGGGGAUAAAAAUGAACA